rnacentral:rRNA from 1 species
ACUCCUACGGGAGGCAGCAGUAGGGAAUCUUCCACAAUGGGCGCAAGCCUGAUGGAGCAACACCGCGUGAGUGAAGAAGGGUUUCGGCUCGUAAAGCUCUGUUGUUAAAGAAGAACACGUAUGAGAGUAACUGUUCAUACGUUGACGGUAUUUAACCAGAAAGUCACGGCUAACUAUGUGCCAGCAGCCGCGGUAAUACGUAGGUGGCAAGCGUUAUCCGGAUUUAUUGGGCGUAAAGAGAGUGCAGGCGGUUUUCUAAGUCUGAUGUGAAAGCCUUCGGCUUAACCGGAGAAGUGCAUCGGAAACUGGAUAACUUGAGUGCAGAAGAGGGUAGUGGAACUCCAUGUGUAGCGGUGGAAUGCGUAGAUAUAUGGAAGAACACCAGUGGCGAAGGCGGCUACCUGGUCUGCAACUGACGCUGAGACUCGAAAGCAUGGGUAGCGAACAGGAUUAGAUACCCUGGUAGGAUAGCG